rnacentral:rRNA from 1 species
GCCAGACUCCUACGGGAGGCAGCAGUGGGGAAUAUUGCACAAUGGGCGAAAGCCUGAUGCAGCAACGCCGCGUGAAGGAAGAAGGGUUUCGGCUCGUAAACUUCUAUCAACAGGGACGAAAGAAAUGACGGUACCUGAAUAAGAAGCCCCGGCUAACUACGUGCCAGCAGCCGCGGUAAUACGUAGGUGGCAAGCGUUGUCCGGAUUUACUGGGUGUAAAGGGCGUGCAGCCGGGCUGACAAGUCAGAUGUGAAAUCCCGCGGCUCAACCGCGGAACUGCAUUUGAAACUGUUGGUCUUGAGUAUCGGAGAGGCAGGCGGAAUUCCUAGUGUAGCGGUGAAAUGCGUAGAUAUUAGGAGGAACACCAGUGGCGAAGGCGGCCUGCUGGACUGCAACUGACGUUGAGGCUCGAAGGCGUGGGGAGCAAACAGGAUUAGAUACCCUCGUACC